GCGCCUGUUACCGGGGAGUAGCCUGCUCCCGGGAGUCGUCUGUCGACUCCCUUGUAGCGUGACCGUCAACACACUUGGCCCUCAUGGCCAUGGCGAUCACGACCUGCCUGAACAUGUCACGGGUU
rnacentral:sRNA from 2 species